AGAAAAGAAGUUAGUUAGGAGAAGGAGCGUUUUAAUUUUCUCUAGUACUUCUGCUAUUAGCAAAAGUUUUAAACUGGAGACAAAGUGCUGGAAAUGUGUGUUGUGGUUUCUGUGCUGUUACAUAAACCAGGUGGAAAUUGGAAUUGAUGCUCUCAGGAAGAAAAGUUUCAGUUUCAUGGAUUCAAGCUAUUUGUGUGAAACAGGAAAGCUGUAGCUGUUUGUGCACAUUAACUUCCCUUGUCGUGUGAAAAGAAAUUUAUACUAUGCCAUUUUUUUAUCAAGAUCAAAAGAUUUGGGACUUCAGAUGUUUUGAUCUUUUCUGGAUGACCAUGUUCGUGAUCGAUUGAUACUGCAAAAUUUCUAUGUUAUUAGCAACACAGGUCUGGCCAGCUAAUUUUCUGUAUGGUUCAUCACAUAUUGUACCUUCCACUUGAUGUUUCAAAGUUGCAUAUAAAGAGAUUGUAUUUCAUUCCUAGAAAAUUACAUUUCUUGUAAAGUUUGCAGUUUUGACAUUUACUGUGAUUAUUAAAAAGAUGUAUACAUUUUUGCAUUUGAA